UCUAGACCUAAGGUAUGCGUACAGAAAAGAAAAUAGGUGGAAAGGUCUGCCCUUCUCGCCUCCUCUAUUACUCCCAUCCUACAAUGGAAGAUCGAUCAGAAGUGCUUUGCUGGAUGAAUUCCCUGGAAAUUCCAUGAUGUUGCCGUUGUCUAGGCGAGGAUCAGGGGCUCCGGCCUCAACUCUGAUUCUACAUGUACAAGCCGCUAACUGGCAAUUCUCUGACAUAUGUCUCCGCAUUAACAGGUUAUAUGAUGUUCUGCGUGUAGCGGCACAGAGGAUGUGAAGACCCAUGACACUACAUGAGACUCACUAUAUACAAAACGUAUGGUUUGCCGACGUCAGGGCAAGAUUGGCUGAUUCAGAUCGGUAUGGGGUAAACAGAUGUACGCAUCAUGCCUGUUAUUCUUCCAUGCACAUCCAUCACGAUAUCAGGCAAGACAACUUGCCACAUGCCGAGGAAUAUCUAUAUUUUUGUGGUGGAUGAAGACGUUCCCGUGCAUCAUGUGACUGGCCGUUUGGUAGGACAACACACUGGAUGGAGGGGUGUCUGCGUCAUCUAUUUUUCUACAUAACAACGUAUAUCUAGAUUUUCAUGUAUGAUUAAACUUUUCCUUUUUCUGAAAUCUGCAGCAUGUACAGUGGAUGAGAAGCUUGGUGCAUGAUUUGGGGCCUUGUAGGUUGAUCGGACAAUAAGCUAUAUGAAGUCUUGAGGAGCCAUACAGUUGAUAAGAGAUGUCACAUGAUAUGUCGUGUGUCCAGACUAACAACGUUCACGCUGGAUUGAAGCUCUUCUUUUUAGGUAUUGCACACAUGAGACUGGAAAAGCAACGUAAGAUGGACGGCAAUGUUAGUUUGCUGCAUCUGAGUUUUCUUAUCACGUUCUGCCUGUGGGUUACAUCUAUGUACAACAUAUAUCUCCUUUUUGUAAUUAGCAU